rnacentral:rRNA from 1 species
UACGUAGGGUGCAAGCGUUGUCCGGAAUUAUUGGGCGUAAAGAGCUCGUAGGCGGUGUGUCGCGUCUGCUGUGAAAACUCAGGGCUCAACUCUGAGCUUGCAGUGGGUACGGGCACACUAGAGUGCUGUAGGGGAGACUGGAAUUCCUGGUGUAGCGGUGAAAUGCGCAGAUAUCAGGAGGAACACCGGUGGCGAAGGCGGGUCUCUGGGCCGACAUUGACGCUGGAGGAGCGAAAGCCGUGGGGAGCGAACAGG